rnacentral:tRNA from 1 species
UGUUAAGUUGGCAGAAAAGUGCACUAGACUUAGGAUCUAAAAAUAAGGUUUAUAAUUUCCUUACUUAAUAG